rnacentral:rRNA from 1 species
AUUGAACGCUGGCGGCAUGCCUUACACAUGCAAGUCGAACGGCAGCACGGGAGCAAUCCUGGUGGCGAGUGGCGAACGGGUGAGUAAUAUAUCGGAACGUGCCCAGUCGUGGGGAUAACGUAGCGAAAGCUACGCUAAUACCGCAUACGAUCUAUGGAUGAAAGCGGGGGAUCGCAAGACCUCGCGCGAUUGGAGCGGCCGAUAUCAGAUUAGGUAGUUGGUGAGGUAAAGGCUCACCAAGCCGACGAUCUGUAGCUGGUCUGAGAGGACGACCAGCCACACUGGGACUGAGACACGGCCCAGACUCCUACGGAGGCAGCAGUGGGGAAUUUUUGGACAAUGGGCGCAAGCCUGAUCCAGCAAUGCCGCGUGCAGGAUG